rnacentral:rRNA from 1 species
AGGUUUGAUCAUGGGGCUCAGGAUGAACGCUAGCGGCAGGCCUAACACAUGCAAGUCGAACGGUAACAGAUCUUUCGGGAUGCUGACGAGUGGCGCACGGGUGAGUAACGCGUAUGCAACCUACCCUUAACUGGGGGAUAGCCCAUGGAAACGUGGAUUAAUACCCCAUAACAUUACGUUGUCACCUGACAAUGUAAUUAAAACUUCGGUGGUUAGGGAUGGGCAUGCGUCCUAUUAGCUAGUUGGUAAGGUAACGGCUUACCAAGGCUACGAUAGGUAGGGGGCCUGAGAGGGUAAUCCCCCACACUGGUACUGAGACACGGACCAGACUCCUACGGGAGGCAGCAGUGAGGAAUAUUGGUCAAUGGACGAAAGUCUGAACCAGCCAUGCCGCGUGCAGGAAGACGGCCCUAUGGGUUGUAAACUGCUUUUAUAUAGGAAGAAACCCUAGAACGUGUUCUAGGCUGACGGUACUAUACGAAUAAGCACCGGCUAACUCCGUGCCAGCAGCCGCGGUAAUACGGAGGGUGCAAGCGUUAUCCGGACUCAUUGGGUUUNAAGGGUCCGUAGGCGGANUUUUUAAGUCAAGGUGGU